rnacentral:lncRNA from 1 species
AUGCGCGGCGCCUUAACUCUGAGCUUUUACCGUGAAGCAUCUCAAUCAUUGAACUCGAAGCAGGGUGGGCGCAGGGCAACCGCACAGAUACCGAAGACAUCCCUGGGGAUGCGAAGGCGGAGACCACAAUUUUCUGGGUGGCAGUACGGGCAGACCGGGAACGCCCCUGAGGGCGGGGCCGAGAGGGCCAGGCCCCGCCCACACAAGCCCCUCCUUUCGGGCCCCGCCCCUCCCGCUCUCGCGUUUUCCUGUCGACCCGGAAGCAGAUUUCCCAGAUCGCGGGUCCCGUUUCCUGGAGGAAUCUGGCCUCCUAGGAAGAAGGCCAGACUCAGGGACCAUGCCCUGCCCCCCAGUGCUCCAAAGCCCCACCCACUCCGAACAUUGAGGCUGCAGCACUUUCUCAGCCCUGGCUGUCUUGCUGCACUUCUGUCUCCUUCACCCUCCUGCCUUCACUUCUGAUCUGACUGACAGCUCUGUCCUCCCUGCUGGGUGACUCACAGAGGAAGAGAGGAGGAGACAGUGCCCAGAAUCCAGCCGUCACCCUCAGACUCUUAAACAGCUCUCCAGUUCCUCAGACACUUCAAGUCACCCUAGAAGGCAGAAGGUUCAAAUUCUUCCUCACGAUACAUGCAUACAAGUAGCAGAGAGCAAAGCUUGGUAACCCCCUUGGCACUGCCUGCCUCUGGGAUGCUGAAGGCAUUCUCGUUCCUGUGCAUUGCAGAGAAGAUUCAAAUUUCUAGGUAUGGACCAAUGUCCCGGGGGAAGGGUGUUCUCACUAGUCUGAGAGGAGCAGGUACCUCAGAGCUCAGGGUAGAGGCAGGUAUUUGAGGGGCGUAGAGCAGAGGGCCCAGUGUAAGUGCCCUAAAAGAGCAAAUUGGUCUAAGAGCUCAGGGCACAAUUGGAGCAGGGCAUCCAGUCUCUUUCUGGCUUUGUGGCCAUGGAGGGGGACAGCAACGGGCAGAGGUGAAACCUUGGGCUCUCCUCAGUUUUGGAGUGAGUGUCAUUUUUCUCCCUCUACAGAGUUUGUAAGCUUUGGAAGAUGCUAGUUGAACAUUCUGCACUUUGGAGACAUGGAACUGACACCUUACAGGGUAUGUGUGGGCUCUAUUUGGGGAAAUGCUUGAGAGUCUCUGUGGUAUCUCUGGGAUGGCAGUUCUCACACAGAACUCAUCCUGGGUUCCUUGGAGGGGGUGUAUAUCAUGGCAUAGUGGAGGGGUAUGUGUAAUGGAGGGGGUAUAUAUGGUGGCAUAAUGAGGGGUAUGUAUGGUGACUCAAUGGAGGGAGUGUAUAUGCUGGGUCAAUGGAGGGGCCGUAUAUGAAGACUCAGUGGAAGGGGUAUAUAUGUUAUCACAGUUGAGGGGAUAUAUGUGAUGGUUCAGUGGGAGGGGUGUCUAUGAUGCCUUAGUGGAGAGGAUAUAUAUGUAAGAUAGCACAAUGGAGGAGAUAUGUGUAAUGGCUCAGUGGAGGGGGUGUAUGUAUAUAGAUAUGAUGGCACAGUAGAUGAGGUGUAUGUAAUGGCUCAGUGGAGUGGGUAUAUGUGAUGGCUCAGUGGAAGGGGAAUAUAUAUAUAUAUAUAUACACACACAUAUGAUAGCACAAUGGAGGAGGUAUAUGUAAUGGCUCAGUGGAGGGGGUAUAUGUAUAUAGAUAUGAUGGCUCAGUAGAAGAGGUAUAUUUGAUCCUUCAGUUGAUAGUGUCCAAGGGCCCUGAGCAUCAGUCAUUCCCCUCCCUGACUCGAAUUGAAGGCAGUUGAUUUUAGUCUGUUGACCAUGGCAGUGUUUGCUGUCGCAGGGAAAGGCCCCUGCUGUGAGAUUUCUCUUCUGGAGAUGCCCAAGGUCAGGGUUCCGGUCGCUGGGUGUGAGAGGCUGGUCUGAAGCACGAAUGGUUCUGAGAUGAUUCCAGCUUCAAUGAAGGAAGUUAGGUUUCCCACCUGACUAAACUCUAGCUAUGAAGAAACUCCCAGUCACCAAACAUCCCCAGUCCCUGACAAGUCAGGGAUUUGAGCACAGAAGACAGGCAGAGCAACAUUAAAAUUACACAAAUUUCAUUUUCUAGCUGUGUAACUAUUAGUUUACUAAAGUUUUUUGAACCUCUACUGUUCAUGUCAUUUGUUAAAAAUUAGUAAAUUAUAAGCAGGUUUAUUGUGAGGAUUAAGUAAGUGAAUAUAUGUAAAUAAGUACAGAGUCACAUUUGAUCCAAAUUUAUCUUUUUUUUCCCUUUUAUGGACCUCAGAUACAAAUGGGUGAGUUAAUCCUACUUUUGUUUAUGACACACUAUCAUCAUUUUUCCAUGAAAUGCAUUUAAUUAUUAUUGGUAUUUUAGGAGAGAAUUUGCUUUCUCUCUGUGUAUAUACAUAUAUAUGCAUGUACAUAUACAUAUACCUGUGUGUUGGUAAAUACUGAAACCCAGGGAUGUUGCAGCUAAUGAGGAUUAAUACAGAACCGGAUUUGGAGGAUUACUGCUACCACUAGGCUAAACUAUCAGACGAAGCAUCUAGAUUUUCUCCUAAACCCCAGCACUCCCUAUUAUCUGAGUGUCCUUGACCUAGAGCAUCGAGACAUACAUGAGAAUAAUGUUAUGACUCCUAUACUCCUGCUACUUUCUCAUGCAGGGGAUCUUAAGGACUGGACUGGCAGGGUGGGUACCAUUGACCCCUCCAAAUGGAAUAAAUCCUUGAAUUAAUUAACUCCA